rnacentral:rRNA from 1 species
AGCGGUAUUUGUCUUUCGGGACAGAGAGAGCGGCGUACGGGUGCGGAACACGUGUGCAACCUACCUUUAUCAGGGGGAUAGCCUUUCGAAAGGAAGAUUAAUACCCCAUAAUAUAUUGAUUGGCAUCAGUUAAUAUUGAAAACUCCGGUGGAUAGAGAUGGGCACGCGCAAGAUUAGAUAGUUGGUAGGGUAACGGCCUACCAAGUCAGUGAUCUUUAGGGGGCCUGAGAGGGUGAUCCCCCACACUGGUACUGAGACACGGACCAGACUCCUACGGGAGGCAGCAGUGAGGAAUAUUGGACAAUGGGUGAGAGCCUGAUCCAGCCAUCCCGCGUGAAGGACGACGGCCCUAUGGGUUGUAAACUUCUUUUGUAUAGGGAUAAACCUUUCCACGUGUGGAAAGCUGAAGGUACUAUACGAAUAAGCACCGGCUAACUCCGUGCCAGCAGCCGCGGUAAUACGGAGGGUGCAAGCGUUAUCCGGAUUUAUUGGGUUUAAAGGGUCCGUAGGCGGAUCUGUAAGUCAGUGGUGAAAUCUCAUAGCUUAACUAUGAAACUGCCAUUGAUACUGCAGGUCUUGAGUAAAGUAGAAGUGGCUGGAAUAAGUAGUGUAGCGGUGAAAUGCAUAGAUAUUACUUAGAACACCAAUUGCGAAGGCAGGUCACUAUGUUUUAACUGACGCUGAUGGACGAA